GUCCACGCCCUAAACGAUGCAUAUUUGGUGUGGGCAGUUCAUUCUGUCCGUGCCGGAGCUAACGCGUUAAAUAUGCCGCCUGGGGAGUACAGUCGCAAGGCUGAAACUCAAAGGAAUUGACGGGGGCCCGCACAAGCGGUGGAGCAUGUGGUUCAAUUCGACGCAACGCGAAGAACCUUACCUGGGGCUCGAACGGCUUCUCAACGCCGGUAGAAAUACUGGUACCCCGCAAGGGGGUGAGUCGAGGUGCUGCAUGGCUGUCGU
rnacentral:rRNA from 1 species